rnacentral:rRNA from 1 species
GCUUUGAUCAUCGACAUCUUGAACGCAUAUUGCGGCCAUAGGUUAGCCUGUGGCCACGCCUGUCCGAGGGUCGGCUUAUAAACUAUCACGACGCCCAUAAAGUCGUGGCUUGGGUUUUGCCAGCUGGCGUGAUUUCCUCUCACACCGUGUGUGCACGUGUGAUGAGGUGCCAGAUCUGUGGCUUCUCCCUAAUGUGUCCGGACACCUACGAUUUGGUGGCGGAGUCGUGGCUAAAUGGUUUCUAUUUUUUAACAGCGCGCUCUGUCAUUGGUGGUGGUGAUGUUCGUGGCCUGGCUCGGUUGCACCGGAGUUAUAAUGCGACCGAAUCGAUUUCCUGACCUCGGAUCAGACGUGAUUACCCGCUGAACUUAAGCAUAUCACUAAGCGGAGGAAAA